rnacentral:miRNA from 1 species
CUCGGGCCGCAACCUCCCUUUCU